CAGCAGCCGCGGUAAUACAGAGGGUGCGAGCGUUAAUCGGAUUUACUGGGCGUAAAGCGUGCGCAGGCGGUUAUAUAAGACAGAUGUGAAAUCCCCGGGCUCAACCUGGGAACUGCAUUUGUGACUGUAUAGCUAGAGUACGGCAGAGGGGGAUGGAAUUCCGCGUGUAGCAGUGAAAUGCGUAGAUAUGCGGAGGAACACCGAUGGCGAAGGCAAUCCCCUGGGCCUGUACUGACGCUCAUGCACGAAAGCGUGGGGAGCAAACAGGAUUAGAUACCCCAGUAGUCCCUGUCUCUUAUAC
rnacentral:rRNA from 1 species